rnacentral:ncRNA from 1 species
CCGCGAAAGCGGGGGUCGACGAAGCGGAAGCGAGAAUGUCGGCUUGAGUAACGAAAACAUUGGUGAGAAUCCAAUGCCCCGAAAACCCAAGGUUUCCUCCGCAAGGUUCGUCCACGGAGGGUGAGUUAGGGCCUAAGAUCAGGCCGAAAGGCGUAGUCGAUGGACAACAGGUCAAUAUUCCUGUACUACCCCUUGUUGGUACGGAGGGACGGAGGAGGCUAGGUUAGCCGAAAGAUGGUUAUAGGUUUAAGGACACAAGGUGACCCUGCUUUUUCA